rnacentral:rRNA from 1 species
AACGAACGCUGGCGGCAGGCCUAACACAUGCAAGUCGAGCGCGCCCUUCAGGGUGAGCGGCAGACGGGUGAGUAACGCGUGGGAACGUGCCCUUCUCUGCGGAAUAGCCUCGGGAAACUGAGAGUAAUACCGCAUACGCCCUUUGGGGGAAAGAUUUAUCGGAGAAGGAUCGGCCCGCGUUGGAUUAGGUAGUUGGUGGGGUAAUGGCCCACCAAGCCGACGAUCCAUAGCUGGUUUGAGAGGAUGAUCAGCCACACUGGGACUGAGACACGGCCCAGACUCCUACGGGAGGCAGCAGUGGGGAAUCUUAGACAAUGGGGGCAACCCUGAUCUAGCCAUGCCGCGUGAGUGAUGAAGGCCUUAGGGUUGUAAAGCUCUUUCAGCUGGGAAGAUAAUGACGGUACCAGCAGAAGAAGCCCCGGCUAACUCCGUG